rnacentral:rRNA from 1 species
GAUGAACGCUGGCGGCGUGCCUAAUACAUGCAAGUCGAGCGAACGGACGAGAAGCUUGCUUCUCUGAUGUUAGCGGCGGACGGGUGAGUAACACGUGGAUAACCUACCUAUAAGACUGGGAUAACUUCGGGAAACCGGAGCUAAUACCGUAUAAUAUUUUGAACCGCAUGGUUCAAAAGUGAAAGACGGUCUUGCUGUCACUUAUAGAUGGAUCCGCGCUGCAUUAGCUAGUUGGUAAGGUAACGGCUUACCAAGGCAACGAUGCAUAGCCGACCUGAGAGGGGGAUAGGCCACACUGGAACUGAGACACGGUCCAGACGCCUACGGGAGGCAGCAGUAGGGAAUCUUCCGCAAUGGGCGAAAGCCUGACGGAGCAACGCCGCGUGAGUGAUGAAGGUCUUCGGAUCGUAAAACUCUGUUAUGAGGGAAGAACAUAUGUGGAAGUAACUGUGCACAGCGUGACGGUACCUAAUCAGAAAGCCACGGCUAACUACGUG